rnacentral:rRNA from 1 species
GAUGAACGCUGGCGGCGUGCCUAAUACAUGCAAGUCGAGCGAACAGACGAGGAGCUUGCUCCUCUGACGUUAGCGGCGGACGGGUUAGUACCACGUGGAUAACCUACCUAUAAGACUGGGAUAACUUCGGGAAACCGUAGCUAAUACCGGAUAAUAUAUUGAACCGCAUGGUUCAAUAGUGAAAGACGGCUUUGCUGUCACUUAUAGAUGGAUCCGCGCCGCAUUAGCUAGUUGGUAAGGUAACGGCUUACCAAGGCAACGAUGCGUAGCCGACCUGAGAGGGUGAUCGGCCACACGGGAACUGAGACACGGUCCAGACUCCUACGGGAGGCAGCGGUAGGAAAUCUGCCGCAAUGGGCGAAAGCCUGACGGAGCAACGCCGCGUGAGUGAUGAAGGUCUUCGGAUCGUAAAACUCUGUUAUUAGAGAAGAACAAAUGUGUAAGUAACUAUGCACGUAUUGACGGUACCUAAGCAGAAAGCCACGGCUAACAACGU